UGAGGGUGCAGUACCUCCUCUGAAAUAUAUCAAGAAAUGGCUGCUGAAGCAGGAUCCCUACACUCUGCAUGUACCUGAGUAGUUGAUAUCAUAUGCUGUUUGGGCCCAUUCCGAUCUGAACACACUUCCGGUUGGGGAGGGUGGGGGUGGAGGGGGGUAUCCCUAUUCACAAGAGCCACUUCCUGUUUAUGAUUUAUGACGGGUCAUAAAAUCCAUUGUGUAGGGAUGACAGGUGUAAUGCCAGUGGUGAACCUGCAGGGGUCGCUGGGGUGCGGGAUCUGUAUAGACAGACACUUCCUGUUUAUGAUUUAUGACGGGUCGUAAACAUAGUAUAAAAAGGGGGCGACGGCUGCUGUAGGGUCCCCGCAUUCAUCAAGUUGUCUGCAGUAUUCUUUUCAAUCAACAUGGACUGCUCAUCAGAAGAAACCCAUAGAUCAGAUAGUCCUUAUUGGUUGUAUAGGGGCCCUCGUACCCCGUCGCCAUUGUCUUCCCCCGCCAUGGACGACUCUGUGUCGAGCAAUGAGGAAAUUGAAAACCAGAUGCCUGAUGGUAUGUCCGUCUUUAGUACGCCUGUGUCUAACUAUGCCGAUAGUUGUGGAGAUGCGGUACUGCUUAAUGCUCCACUCAAAAGAACGAGGCCUGUUUUAGGCUUGAGAGACCGGAGUGCCGGGGAUUCAUUCACCCACGUUGGUGAAUACGGCUUGGAGUAUGUAAUAUCAUGGGUCGAUGGCUGUGUUAUUUUGAAAGUUAAAGAUUGUGCUACAGAGUGGCGGAUGAACGUUCACGAGUGGAAUUUUUUCUUGGAGAAUUUAUGCCCCAUGCUAGACGGCGGCGAGGGUACAUGGCAUGGGGGACCCCAUGAAUACCGUUGGACCUUUCAGUAUGAAUCGAGGAUUCAACAUCGUUUGGCAUGCACCUUUCAGUAUGAAUCGAGGAUUCAUCGCAUGGAUGCAAACUAUCAUACGAAGAGACCACAGGAGUUCAUUUUUUUCAGACGCGGUGUUGAUACAGACGAGCUACCACAGUGCUAUGAUAUGCAUUGCAUCGGUAGCUCUCCUCUACGCGCCAGUGUUUUAGAAGCUGCUGAUUAUUUUGAUAAUGUCUUUUUCAUGCAGUGGGCUGAUCUGUCUGCACUACGUGGAAUUUUUGCAGAGAUUGAUUCUUUGGCUAAGACGAAUGAAGAACCAUGGAGCACAACUGACGAUGAAUGCCAAAUGUGCCUGUUUGAGUCGUCUGGGUUUGAUGAUGGGGUACAUGCACAGGUCAAUGAUGAACAUGUUCAAGGUGGGGGUGUGGCUAUGGAGACUGCUGAUUUAAAGGCUGUGCAACCCGGACCCCACUGGCUUCAAGAGUAUGCCGUCUAUCUGACCGGAUUGAAUCUGACCUUCCUACACAUCGGAGAGGACAGUGAGCUGGAGGUGGACACUGCUGUGAGAGACGACGGAUGGCCUGUAUCAAUACAGAUCCGUUUAAACCCUGCAUCGCUGGCUGUUCUGCGAUUUACCACGGGGGUCUGUGUGGUGGCCAUCAUCAACCAUCAGAAGCAAGCGGACUGCUGGGGAUGCCAGUGUGAUUGCCCAAGUCAACGACGCCAUUCAUGCCUGCAGGGAGCGACACAUCAUCACUACGAAUCCCACUACCAUGACAUUUGUGUCAUCCUGGACAGACACCCCUUCCUGUUACUUUUAGAAACUGUUCUAAAGAAGACUACAGGGUUGACUGUGUCCCCCGGAAAAAUCUAUGGUGUGGUCGAAUCUUAUCUAUGUGAUUUAAUAUGCAAUACCUAUAAUACCGAAAAACUGGAUUCAUUGACCACCGAAGGUGUGUCCGAUGAACAUCUGCUUCUGAUACAUGAAGCCAUACAAAUGUGGCGUCCUACAUUGUCAUUUUGCAAACCAAAGCCUGGUGGUGGUGGAAUCCAGUUUUUCGGUAUUAUAGGUAUUGCAUAUUAAAUCACAUAGAUAAGAUUCGACCACACCAUAGAUUUUUCCGGGGGACACAGUCAACCCUGUAGUCUUCUUUAGAACAGUUUCUAAAAGUAACAGGAAGGGGUGUCUGUCCAGGAUGACACAAAUGUCAUGGUAGUGGGAUUCGUAGUGAUGAUGUGUCGCUCCCUGCAGGCAUGAAUGGCGUCGUUGACUUGGGCAAUCACACUGGCAUCCCCAGCAGUCCGCUUGCUUCUGAUGGUUGAUGAUGGCCACCACACAGACCCCCGUGGUAAAUCGCAGAACAGCCAGCGAUGCAGGGUUUAAACGGAUCUGUAUUGAUACAGGCCAUCCGUCGUCUCUCACAGCAGUGUCCACCUCCAGCUCACUGUCCUCUCCGAUGUGUAGGAAGGUCAGAUUCAAUCCGGUCAGAUAGAUGGCAUACUCUUGAAGCCAGUGGGGUCCGGGGUGCACAGCCUUUAAAUCAGCAGUCUCCAUAGCCACACCCCCACCUUGAACAUGUUCAUCAUUGACCUGUGCUGCAUAGCGUAUCAAAAAUAUACCAUUAGAAUAUGAAAAUAAAAAACACACACAACACCCACAUAUUAAUAUAAGGUAUAGUCUAUCAAAAAACACAUUUAAAAAGGAAAAUAAACCAUCCCUUAAUACUACUAGUAUGUACCCCACCUUCUUAUACAUUGCGGACAUUUUCUAACGCUAGCAUAACCCUAAACAUACUCAAACACACCAUGUACCCCAUCAUCAAACCCAGACGACUCAAACAGGCACAUUCGGCAUUCAUCAUCAGUUGUGCUCCAUGGUUCUUCAUUCGCAAAAAUUCCACGUAGUGCAGACAGAUCAGCCCACUGCAUGAAAAAGACAUUAUCAAAAUAAUCAGCAGCUUCUAAAACACUGGCGCGUAGAGGAGAGCUACCGACGCAAUGCAUAUCAUAGCACUGUGGUAGCUCGUCUGUAUCAACACAGCGUCUGAAAAAAAUGAACUCCUGUGGUCUCUUCGUAUGAUAGUUUGCAUCCAUGCGAUGAAUCCUCGAUUCAUACUGAAAGGUGCAUGCCAAACGAUGUUGAAUCCUCGGUUCAUACUGAAAGGUCCAACGGUAUUCAUGGGGUCCCCCAUGCCAUGUACCCUCGCCGCCGUCUAGCAUGGGGCAUAAAUUCUCCAAGAAAAAAUUCCAUUCGUGAACGUUCAUCCGCCACUCUGUAGCACAAUCUUUAACUUUCAAAAUAACACAGCCAUCGACCCAUGAUAUUACAUACUCCAAGCCGUAUUCACCAACGUGGGUGAAUGAAUCCCCGGCACUCCGGUCUCUCAAGCCUAAAACAGGCCUCGUUCUUUUGAGUGGAGCAUUAAGCAGUACCGCAUCUCCACAACUAUCGACAUAGUUAGACACAGGCGUACUAAAGACGGACAUACCAUCAGGCAUCUGGUUUUCAAUGUCCUCAUUGCUCGACACAGAGUCGUCCAUGGCGGGGGAAGACAAUGGCGACGGGGUACGAGGGCCCCUAUACAACCAAUAAGGACUAUCUGAUCUAUGGGUUUCUUCUGAUGAGCAGUCCAUGUUGAUUGAAAAGAAUACUGCAGACAACUUGAUGAAUGCGGGGACCCUACAGCAGCCGUCGCCCCCUUUUUAUACUAUGUUUACGACCCGUCAUAAAACAUAAACAGGAAGUGGCCCCUGUGAAUAGGGACCCCCCCCUCCACCCCCACC
rnacentral:lncRNA from 1 species